rnacentral:rRNA from 1 species
UACGUAGGGGGCGAGCGUUGUCCGGAUUUAUUGGGCGUAAAAGGCGUGUAGGCGGCCAGGUAGGUCCGUUGUGAAAACUCGAGGCUCAACCUCGAGACGUCGAUGGAAACCAUCUGGCUAGAGUCCGGAAGAGGAGAGUGGAAUUCCUGGUGUAGCGGUGAAAUGCGCAGAUAUCAGGAAGAACACCUAUGGCGAAGGCAGCUCUCUGGGACGGUACUGACGCUGAGACGCGAAAGCGUGGGGAGCGAACAGG